UACGUAGGGUGCAAGCGUUGUCCGGAAUUAUUGGGCGUAAAGAGCUCGUAGGCGGUUCGUUAUGUCUGCUGUGAAAGCCCCGGGCUUAACCUGGGAAUGGCAGUGGAAACUGGCGGGCUUGAGUGUGGCAGAGGGGGGUGGAAUUCCGCGUGUAGCAGUGAAAUGCGUAGAGAUGCGGAGGAACACCGAUGGCGAAGGCAGCCCCCUGGGCUGACACUGACGCUGAGGCACGAAAGCGUGGGGAGCAAACAGG
rnacentral:rRNA from 1 species